AUUGAACGCUGGCGGCAGGCCUAACACAUGCAAGUCGAGCGGAAACGACCUAGCUUGCUAGGGGCGUCGAGCGGCGGACGGGUGAGUAACGCGUAGGAAUUUACCAUGUAGUGGGGGAUAACGUUCGGAAACGAACGCUAGUACCGCAUAGUCUCGCAAGAGUAAACGAGGCCUCUCCUUGGAAGCUACGGCCUGAAGAUUGGCCCAUGUCGCAUUAGCUUGUUGGUAGGGUAAUGGCCUACCAAGGCAACGAUGCGUAGCUGGUCUGAGAGGAUGAUCAGCCACACUGGAACUGAGACACGGUCCAG
rnacentral:rRNA from 1 species